CUGGAGGGGAACAACAGUAUGGAACCACAAAGCUGUUAAUACCUGGAAGAUCUCGAAGCCGUAGAUGUCGAGGACUCCAAUGGUGAAGAAUUCCUGCCACCAGCUGAAGAACCGAGUCCUGAUCCUCCACAGUCAGACCCACGACGGACAUCGCCCCCUGAGAGACAGACGGACGGACAGUUUAACAGACAGACAGGUGAACAGACAGAAAGUUGGAGAUCUUCCCUCCAUCAGGAGCUCCUCCUCGACUGAACUGGAUCUCAAAGUAUUUCCCCUGACGGGAGAGACACGUCUGUGAGUCAGACACUUUGGACACGUAGCUCAUGAUGUACUUGGCUGCGACUGUUUUUCCAGCUCCGCUCUCACCGCUGAGACGACAAAGAUUCAAACGACAAAGAUUCAAACAACAAAGACUCAAACAACAAAGACUCAAACAACAAAGACUCAAACAACAAAGAUUUAAAGAAUUAAAACCACUCAACUCUCUGCAGGUGUGGGCAGGUAAAGCCCCGCCUCCUCCGCCUGCAACUGGAACUCUGGGUAAUGAAGUGUAAAUGAGGAG